UUGAAAACUUUGGGGAUACUGUUGCUGGUCUCUAACGGGACAUGUGCACGUAUCUCUAAUCCAUUCAUCCACCUGUGCACCUUUUGUAGAAGUUCGUUCAGGAUUGGCUUACAAGUGUCCUUAUGGACUUUGUAUAGUUGGUUUUGAAAGGCUUCUAUGUUCUUACAAACUAGUUAAGCAUGUUUAGAAUGUCGUUUCUAGGGACUUGAUUGACCCUUUAAACUUGUA
rnacentral:misc_RNA from 1 species